rnacentral:lncRNA from 1 species
CCAAGACGAGGCGUAUACAGGUUGCAGGCAUCCUCAGAUAUGCCACACCUCUGCUAAGGAAGUGAGAUGCUCCCCCACUCAGAGCUCCCAAGGAAGCCGUCCUACCCAGCCUCAGAGGUCUGGAGAGACGCUUGGCCCGGGACCCCCUACGAGCUGAUGAGUACUCCGCAGCGAUUCGCAAGUUAGUGGAGACUGGAGCAGUCAAGAAGAUUGACCCAGGGGAAGCCUUGAUCUCAGAUGAGUCGUGGUACAUACCACACCACUUGGUGAGCCAUAACGGGAAGAGUCGUUUGGUCUUCAACUGCUCCUUUCAAUUCCAUGGUCGAAGCCUCAAUGACACCCUCCUUCCUGGACCAACAUUGGGAGCCUCUCUGCUGGGAGUUUUACUGCGCUUCAGGGAACAUGCGGUGGCAGUUUGUGGUGACAUCAGAGGAAUGUUCCACCAAGUCCAGCUCUUACCUGAAGACUCUUCUCGGGUUCAUUCGGAGGGACAUGAAACAUGAGAACCCCCCUGAUGUCUUUGAGUGGCAGGUCUUACCAUUUGGCACUGUGUGUUCACCAUGUUGCGCCACCUUCGCUCUCCAAAUGCAUGCAAGAGAUCACGGAGUCAGGCAUUCUGUGGGGCGCUGUUUUUACUUGGAUAAUUGUCUGCAGAGUGUGCAUACCUCAGAAGAAGCCAAGGAAUUGGUGGACCGGCUUAGGGAAGUGCUAGCAUCUGGAGGGUUUGAGAUUCGCCAGUGGGCUUGCAAUAUACCUGACGUUCUCAGGCACCUACCUGCAGAAGCAAGAUCUGAUAGCAUGGAACGAUGGCUUUCACAGGAAGAACCAGGCCUGUUGGAACCGGCCCUUGGCCUCAGCUGGCACUGGCAGACAGAUACCUUGGGCUACAAGAGCCGACCUUUGGAGUAUGGAGAACUCACGAUGAGGAAUGUUUACAAGGUGCUAGCCCGACAAUAUGAUCCCCUGGGAUUUAUCGCACCCUACACAACUCGCGCCAAACUGAUUGUCCAGAGCAUGUGGGACAAGCCGCGUGACUGGGAUGACCCACUCAUUCCUCACGAUCUGCGAAAGACAUGGGAGGAGUGGGAAUCAGAGUUGCACCUGCUGCCACGUAUAUCAUUACCCCGACCUUAUGCUCCACCUCAUACCGACCAGAUGGUUACCUCCAGACAGGUCCACGUGUUUAGUGAUGCCUCUGAAAGGGCCUAUGGAUCCGUCUCUUACCUGAGAACAGAAGAUGCCCAGGGUCGAGUAUACCUGGCAUUCAUGGCGGCUAGAUCCAGGGUAGCGCCCCGUCGACAGCAUUCCAUACCCCGCCUUGAGCUCUGUGGUGCCUUGACGGCUGCCCAAUUAGCAAAGACAAUAGAGAGAGAAUCGACAGUGAAGACAGAUCAGACAAUCCUUUGGAGUGACUCUACAACAGUGUUGACCUGGUUGCAGUCAGAGUCAUGCCGCUUUAAAGUCUUCGUG